rfam:Fukomys damarensis contig130778, whole genome shotgun sequence.
GGGGAUUUAGGUCAGUGGCAGAGCGCCUGCCUGGCAAGUGUGAGGUCCUGAGUUCAAUCCCCAGUAUCCCCC